rnacentral:rRNA from 1 species
GAUGAACGCUGGCGGCGUGCCUAAUACAUGCAAGUCGAGCGAACGGACGAGAAGCUUGCUUCUCUGAUGUUAGCGGCGGACGGGUGAGUAACACGUGGAUAACCUACCUAUAAAACUGGGAUAACUUCGGGAAACCGGAGCUAAUACCGGAUAAUAUUUUGAACCGCAUGGUUCAAAAGUGAAAGACGGUCUUGCUGUCACUUAUAGAUAGAUCCGCGCUGCAUUAGCUAGUUGGUAAGGUAACGGCUUACCAAGGCAACGAUGCAUAGCCGACCUGAGAGGGUGAUCGGCCACACUGGAACUGAGACACGGUCCAGACUCCUACGGGAGGCAGCAGUAGGGAAUCUUCCGCAAUGGGCGAAAGCCUGACGGAGCAACGCCGCGUGAGUGAUGAAGGUCUUCGGAUCGUAAAACUCUGUUAUUAGGGAAGAACAUAUGUGUAAGUAACUGUGCACAUCUUGACGGUACCUAAUCAGAAAGCCACGGCUAACUACGUG